CUUUAUUAACAUACCGAUUGGGCCUCAGGUCUGAGGGCCGAACACAUGGAGUACAUGCUUUUUAUAGAACUAUAACUCCUCCCAUUAAUAGCUCCACCCGCACAUACCCUUAACCAAUCAGUGGACAGGAUUUGGAUUUCCUUAUAUGGGCAGACCACAUGGCUCAUCCGAAACAAAAGAGAAAGGAAUGUGAUUUCAGUUCCUGCAUUCCUGCACAUGCUCAGUACAUUGAUGACAGUAUCUUAGCUACGUGUAACUAACUAACUGAUACAACAUACACAUAUGCCACGUGGAAAUAUCGGCCUACUAAAUUUACAUUUCACCGAAAUUCCAUCACAAUGCUAUUUCUGAAUAUAUUGGACAUUCGCCAAAGGACAUUUUAUCUCUGAAAUCUCUAACUUCAUUUGGCUUUUCUUGCACAUGGGAUCACUUGUGGGCUACCAGGACAGAGAAUACAUUCCAAACCUGAGUUAAUUUUCUUUCAUCUCUUUGUAAUCUGUUUCUAGCGACAUAUUUAAUGAACUAAUGCCUGUUGUAAUACAAAGAGAGAAUGUGUCCUAGCUCUGUUUACUCGUUAAGAUUUAUAAGAAAUGUCGCUUCUUUCUUCAGUUGAAAUAGCAAUUCUCAUUUAAAACUAAACAAGUUGAUAACUGUAAAUCACACUGCGGAAUAUCGGUUUCCCUCCAGAGUUAGAAGGAACACAUUGAAGGUAACAUUUGUUUCAGCGAAUUAACUAAAAACAUAAAAUCCUGCAGAAUUUUUAAACAAUCUUUUUUAUUCAGAAUUAAAAGAUAUUAAGGGUAGACCAACAGGUGUCAAAAUAUUUUGCAACGGAAUGGCUAACAUUCUUUAUUGUAAGCUGAUAUAAAUGGUCUGUAAAAUAUCAACAUGGAAUAUAUAUGACUGAUGUGGAAAUUACUGCAGGAGACGUGGGAUGGGAAAGGUAGUGUGACUGCAGGAGACGUGGAAUGGGAAAGGUAGUGUGACUGCAGGAGAUGUGGAAUGGGAAAAGUAGUGUGACUGCAGGAGACGUGGAAUGGGAAAGGUUAGGUAGUGUGACUGCAGGAGACGUGGGAUGUGAAAGGUAGUGUGACCGCAGGAGAAGUGGGAUGUAAAUGGUAGUGUGACUGCAGGAGACGUGGGAUG